rnacentral:lncRNA from 1 species
CACCUCUCCCUCUCUUCUCUCCUCUCUCCUCUCUCCUCUCUCCUCUCUCCUCUUCCUCUCUCUCUCUCCUCUCUCCUCUCUCUCUCUCCUCUCUCUCUCUCUCUCUCUCUCUCCCUCUCUCUCUUCUCUCUCUCUCUCUCUCUCUCUCUCUCUCUCUCUCUCUCUCUCUCUCUCUCUCUCAUCUCCCUCUCUCUCUCUCAUUCUCUCUCUCUCUCUCUCUCAUCUCCCCUCUCUCUCUCUCUCAUUUCCCUCUCUCUCUCCCUCUCUCUCUCAUCUCCCUCUCUCUCUCUCUCUCAUUUCCCCUCUCUCUCCCUCUCUCUCUCAUCUCCCUCUCUCCUCCCUCCCUCUCCCUCUCUCUCUCCUCCCUCUCCCUCUCCUUCUCUCCUCUCCCCCCUCUCCCUCUCUCUCCUCCCUCUCCCUCUCUCUCUCUCUCCCUCUCUCUCUUAUCUCCUCUGCUCUCUCUCAUCUCCCUCUGUCUCUCCCUCUCUCUUCCUCCUCCCUCUCUCUCUCUCUCUCUCUCUCCUCUCUCUCUCUCUCUCCUCUCUCUUCCUCUCUCUCUCUCUCUCUCUCUCCUCUCUCUCUCUCUCUCUCUCUCCUCUCUCUCUCUCUCUCUCUCUCUCUCUCUCUCUCUCUCUCUCUCUCUCUCUCUCUCUCAUCUCCCUCUCUCUCUCUCUCUCAUUUCCCUCUCUCUCUCCCUCUCUCUCUCAUCUCCCUCUCUCCUCCCUCCCUCUCCCUCUCUCUCUCCUCCCUCUCCCUCUCCUUCUCUCUCUCUCCCCCUCUCUCCUCUCUCUCCUCCCUCUCCCUCUCUCUCUCUCUCCCUCUCUCUCUCAUCUCCCUCUGUCUCUCUCUCAUCUCCCUCUGUCUCUCCCUCUCUCUCUCUCCCUCCCUCUCUCUAUCUCUCUCUCUCUCUCUUCCUCUCCUCUCUCUCUCUCUCUCUCUCUCUCUCUCUCUCUCUCUCUCUCUCUCUCUCUCUCUCUCUCUCUCUCUCUCUCUCUCUCUCUCUCUCUCUCUCUAUCUCCCUCUCUCUCUCAUCUCCCUCUCUCUCUCUCUCAUUUCCCUCUCUCUCCCUCUCUCUCUCAUCUCCCUCUCUCCUCCCUCCCUCUCCCUCUCUCUCUCCUCCCUCUCCCUCUCCUUCUCUCUCUCUCCCCCCUCUCCCUCUCUCUCCUCCCUCUCCCUCUCUCUCUCUCUCCCCUCUCUCUCUCUCCCUCUCUCUCUCAUCUCCCUCUGUCUCUCUCUCAUCUCCCUCUCUCUCUCCCUCUCUCUCUCUCCCUCCCUCUCUCUCUCCUCCCUCCCUCUCUCUCUCUCUCUCCUCUCUCUCUCUCUCUCUCUCUCUCUCUCUCUCUCUCUCUCUCUCUCUCUCUCUCCUCUCCCUCUCUCUCUCUCUCUCUCAUUUCCCUCUCUCUCUCCCUCUCUCUCUCAUCUCCCUCUCUCCUCCCUCCCUCUCCCUCUCUUCUCCCUCUCCCUCUCCUCUCUCUCUCCCCCUCUCCCUCUCUCUCCUCCUCUCCCUCUCUCUCUCUCUCCCUUCUCUCUCUCAUCUCCCUCUGUCUCUCUCUCAUCUCCCUCUCUCUCUCCCUCUCUCUCUCCUCCCUCCCUCUCUCUCUCCUCCCUCCCCUCUCUCUCUCUCUCCUCUCUCUCUCUCUCUCCUCUCUUCUCUCUCUCUCUCUCUCUCUCUCUCUCUCUGUCUCUCUCUCAUCUCCCUCUCUCUCUCUCUCUCUCAUUUCCCUCUCUCUCUCCCUCUCUCUCUCAUCUCCCUCUCUCCUCCCUCCCUCUCCCUCUCUCUCUCCUCCCUCUCCCUCUCCUUCUCUCUCUCCCCCCUCUCCCUCUCUCUCCUCCCUCUCCCUCUCUCUCUCUCUCCCUCUCUCUCUCAUCUCCCUCUGUCUCUCUCUCAUCUCCCUCUCUCUCUCCCUCUCUCUCUCCUCCCUCCCUCUCUCUCUCCUCCUCCCUCUCUCUCUCUCUCUCUCUCUCUCUCUCUCUCUCUCUCUCUCCUCUCUCUCUCUCUCUCUCUCUCUCAUCUCCCUCUCAUCUCCCUCUGUCUCUCUCAUCUCCCUCUCAUCUCCCUCUGUCUCUCUCAUCUCCCUCUCUCUCCCUCUCUCUCUCAUCUCCCUCUCUCUCCUCUCUCUCUCAUCUCCCUCUCUCUCUCCCUCUCUCUCUCAUCUCCCUCUCUCCCUCCCUCUCUCUCUCAUCUCCCUCUCUCCCUCUCUCUGUCCUCCCUCUCUCUCCUCCCUCUCCCUCUCUCUCUCAUCUCCCUCUGUCUCUCUCUCAUCUCCCUCUCUCUCUCCCUCUCUCUCUCCUCCCUCUCCCUCUCUCCUCCUCCCUCUCUCUCCUCCCUCUCUCUUUCUCCCCUGCUCCCUCUCUCCCACAGACAUCCACAGCUCUACCUCAGCCUCCCCUAGUCCACACACGGUAACUAGGUGGCAAGAGGUCAGAGGCAGUUUUGCCUCCUUGCAAAGAGCUGGCCGCAUCUUCAGCCACCUGCUCUCUCCCUCUGCCCCCACCUCCCACAAAGUGUGUGCAACCCCAUGGGUCCGGCUCUGCCCGGUUAAGGAGGCGAGCAGUGAGCCACAGAAGGUCUUUGAGAAAAUCAAUGGGAUCCCGAGUUGCUCCUGCAGGUGUCGGUGA